GCUGGGGCCAACAAACCCAUGUUCCCAGAGAGAGCCUAUUUUAGAUUCUGCAAUCAGUCUCUUUGCGAGAGUUUCCGCUCCACUCUUCUUACACCCCAAUAUAGCCCCAAAUGGAUGCUUUGGAAAUCAGGGUGUUAGCCUGGGCAGCUUAGACAGACAGUGCCUCACUAAGUAUAAAUCAGCCAAAGCUUUGGUCUGCAUUUGACUCCCCUCUCUCCCUCCAUCCCUCUGGCUUUUUUUUGCUUUCCAGAGAGCCACAAUUUAGUCGUCACUGUCCGUCUGUCAACUCGUCGCCAGGAGGGAGAUAAGCUCCGCAGGGAUGUGUGGACUCCACAGGAGUUGAUGUAGGAUUCCACAGUCUGACCCUGCUAAUCCCUUCAACCUCUGCCUUACCUCCAUGUCGCAGUGGCUCCAUAGAAACACACAAACAAACCGUGGCUGGAUACUGACACACACAGGCAUGUGCCCACUGCCUACCUAUCUAUGUUCUACCAAAGGUCACUUCCUGUUUUUCAUCAUGCCACCUGAGAGCCACACACACACACCCAAACUAAGAACCUGAAACUUUGACUGGACUGCAGAGCAUUGUGAUGGUGAACCCCAAGAACGUGGAGAAAGGUCAUGCCCUUCCACAGAUUGUGGGGCAGCGGUGGUGUUUCUGGCAACAGCGGCAGCAUAGCUGGAUCCUUCACUGCACACGGACAGCUCCGAUAAUGUGGACGUG